rnacentral:lncRNA from 1 species
UAGAAGCUAUCAUAUCAAUUACAGCACUAGUAACUCCUUAGAAAAACCAAUUUCAGUGUAUUUUUAUCUUAACCUGGAAAUAUUUCCUUCUUAUUUAUAUAGCUCUCAUUGUUGAGUUGGUUAACUAAUAAGAUUAUGGUGGAAUUUUAUUAAACUUGGUUUCGUUUCAUAUUCUUUACCAUCUUAGUCUUACCUUUCUUAUUUACUGAUAGUCUUUUUUGUGUUUCUAAAUUUCGUUUAGCAAUCUAUCUUCAGGUCGAUGAGUCUACCUCGAGUGAUGAGAGUCCAGGGCUAGACCUGCCUGAUGGCCUGUUGCAUUUUAGAAAUAAUCUUCUUGAGCUCUUGGUAGAUAUUUGUCAGCUACUUCAUCCUACAACAUUUGUGAGUAAGGUGUCCCCUCACUUCA